UACGGGGGGAGCAAGCGUUGUUCGGAUUUACUGGGCGUAAAGGGCGCGUAGGCGGCCACCGCAAGUCGACUGUGAAAUCUCCGGGCUUAACUCGGAGCGGCCAAGUGAUACUGUCGCGCUAGAGUGCGGAAGGGGCAACUGGAAUUCUCGGUGUAGCGGUGAAAUGCGUAGAUAUCGAGAGGAACACCUGUGGCGAAGGCGGGUUGCUGGGCCGACACUGACGCUGAGGCGCGAAAGCCAGGGGAGCGAACGGG
rnacentral:rRNA from 1 species